rnacentral:rRNA from 1 species
AUACGGAGGGUGCAAGCGUUACUCGGAAUUACUGGGCGUAAAGCGCGCGCAGGCGGUCUUUUAAGUUGGAUGUGAAAGCCUACGGCUCAACCGUAGAACUGCAUCCAAAACUAUUAGACUAGAGUGUGGGAGAGGAAGAUGGAAUUAGUUGUGUAGGGGUAAAAUCCGUAGAGAUAACUAGGAAUACCAAAAGCGAAGGCAAUCUUCUGGAACACUACUGACGCUGAGGCGCGAAAGCGUGGGGAGCAAACAGGAUUAGAAACCCCGGUAGUCC